rnacentral:rRNA from 1 species
UACGUAGGGGGCGAGCGUUGUCCGGAAUCAUUGGGCGUAAAGGGCUCGUAGGCGGCCAACUAAGUCAGACGUGAAAUCCCCAGGCUCAACCUGGGAACUGCGUCUGAUACUGGAUGGCUUGAAUCCGGGAGAGGGAUGCAGAAUUCCAGGUGUAGCGGUGAAAUGCGUAGAUAUCUGGAGGAAUACCGGUGGCGAAGGCGGCAUCCUGGACCGGCAUUGACGCUGAGGAGCGAAAGCCAGGGGAGCAAACGGG